rnacentral:rRNA from 1 species
AUGUCGCAGCAGACAGCACAGGCGCCGGCGCCGGUGAGGCUCAUCACGGCGUUCGGCAGCCCGUUCGCGCACCGGGUGGAGGUGGCGCUCACGCUUAAGGGGGUGCCAUACGAGCUGCUCGUGGAGGACCUGGCCAACAAGAGCGAGCUGCUGCUCGCCCACAACCCCGUCCACCAGUCGGUCCCCGUCCUCCUCCACGGCGACCGCGCCGUCUGCGAGUCCCUCCUCAUCGUCGAGUACGUGGACGAGUCCUUCCACGACGACGAGGGGUCGGCGCUCCGGCUCCUCCCAGCGGACCCCUACGAGCGCGCCACGGCCCGCUUCGGGGCUGACUUCAUCGCCAACAAGUGCUUGAAGUCCCUAUGUGGCAGGCGAUGUGGACGGACGGUGAGGAGUAGGCGCGGCUGGCGAGGGAGACCAAUGAGAGCCUGGGGUCCUGGACGCGCAGCUGGAGGGGAAGAGGUUCUUCGGGGGUGA